rnacentral:rRNA from 1 species
ACCUAAUAGAUACCCGGGUAGUCCACGCCCUAAACUAUGUCAACUAGUUGUUGGGAGAGUUAAAUCUCUUAGUAAACGCAGCUAAACGCGUGAAGUUGACCGCCUGGGGAGUACGGCCGCAAGGUUAAAACUCAAAGGAAUUGACGGGGACCCGCACAAGCGGUGGAUUAUGUGGAUUAAUUCGAUGCAACGCGAAAAACCUUACCUACCCUUGACAUGUACGGAACGGGGCAGAGACGUCCCGGUGCCCGAAAGGGAACCGUAACACAGGUGCUGCAUGGCUGUCGUCAGCUCGUGUCGUGAGAUGUUGGGUUAAGUCCCGCAACGAGCGCAACCCUUACCAUUAGUUGCUACAUUCAGUUGGGCACUCUAAUGGGACUGCCGGUGACAAACCGGAGGAAGGUGGGGAUGACGUCAAGUCCUCAUGGCCCUUAUGGGUAGGGCUUCACACGUAAUACAAUGGCCGGUACAGAGGGUUGCCAACCCGCGAGGGGGAGCCAAUCCCAGAAAGCCGGUCGUAGUCCGGAUUGUUCUCUGCAACUCGAGAGCAUGAAGUCGGAAUCGCUAGUAA